rnacentral:tRNA from 1 species
GGGCGAAUAGCUCAGCUGGUCAGAGCACUCGGCUUACACCCGAGCGGUCGGGGGUUCGAGUCCCUCUUCGCCCA